GGCUGGUCUGAGUACAGUAGUGUUUACGACUAAUUGAUCAGAACCAGUUACAGAUUUCUUUGUUCUUUCUCCUCUCCCACUGCUUCAGUUGGCUAGCCUUGA
ensembl:misc_RNA Y_RNA Y RNA